rnacentral:lncRNA from 1 species
CCUUUCUCUGCCUCACCCNCCCCCCCCCCCCCGGUUCUUCUCUUACCAGGAAAAAGGAGCAGAGGCAAGAAGAAGGAGAGGAAGAAGAGGGGGAGGACCCUAUGCUGUUCGUCACAGAUGGGAAUGAGGAGCGGAAGACAUCUCUUAAAGUAGAUAAGCUGUCCAAGUCCAAGAAGGAUGAGCAAUUUAACAUGUACACCAAGAGCAAGACAGGGGGGAGCCCACCUGCUGACAAUGAUCUAAGCACCGAGGACUAUGAAACCAUGGGGCUAGGUGAAGAUUAUGAGAAUCUGUCAACAGGAGGACUUUAUGGGAACUUGGGUAACUGGCAGACCACUUCUGGCACCGACCAGAUCUACUCCAAUGUCUGACAGGAGAAGGAAGCAGAUGAAGAAGCUUAUCCAAAUUCUUUUCUCUAUUUAACAAGUGCUUGUAAUAACUAGAAGUAAUACUAGCUAGAACAAUGGAUGGGAUCAGAAGGAAGAUCUGCAGAGGCAUCAUGCUGACCUAGGAUGCCUGUCUAAACUGCAUGAGGGUUCUCUGCUUUGCAAGGGCUGCCUCCCAAAAUUCCCUGGGGAGUUUUGUUAGUCUAAACCCUUGCAGUGUCUUGCUGCUAGGGUGUGUUAUUAGUGCCAACUCCUAGGACUGGAUGCUCUGUGGGAUAUAUGGUAUGUGUGUAAGACUCUGGUUUUCAAUGUGCAGAGGGAAUAACCAUAACCUUAAACCCUGGAGGCUCUUAUUUCCUGUGGGGAACCCUCUUUGGACUUCCCCCCUCUGCAGUGAGGGGAUAACUGAAUGGCACUAACCCCCACCCCCAGGAUCAAUUGCCUGCUGACGUGUCAGGAACUGUGCUGUCCUAAAUCCCAUCCCUCUUUUCUAAGACCGAGGUGUUUCCUGAUGUUUUGAGCCCAUUGUGUCAGUGGAUUUUAUUGUCAGACUUUCUAAGUAUAUGUCUCUAUUUUUGUAUUCUCAGCAUGUCCCUGCUGCUUUUAUUACAGUGAUUCACUUGGACUUGGGGGUGAUGGGA